rnacentral:rRNA from 1 species
GAUCCUGGCUCAGGACGAACGCUGGCGGCGCGCCUAACACAUGCAAGUCGAACGAGCGAGAGAGAGCUUGCUUUCUUGAGCGAGUGGCGAACGGGUGAGUAACGCGUGAGGAACCUGCCUCAAAGAGGGGGACAACAGUUGGAAACGACUGCUAAUACCGCAUAAGCCCACGACCCGGCAUCGGGUAGAGGGAAAAGGAGCAAUCCGCUUUGGGAUGGCCUCGCGUCCGAUUAGCUAGUUGGUG